AACGAUGAUGAACCCUACAGACCUGUAAUGAUUAUUGCAGAUAUGAUUGCAUAAUCAAAGAACAUCUAAGGGACUGAGUUGUCAACCUCGCAAGCUGUUUUAAGACGCAGGAGGUUUUUUUUUAUCUCAUAUAGUUUUUUUCCCCCUUGAAAUGUUUGAUAAAUUAAAUUUAUUUACAGUGAUGUCAAGUUCCAAAAUAAUGACUUUUCUUGUAUUCCAAAACAACGGACAGCGAUGAUGAGCCUACAGACCUGUAAUGAUCAUUGCUGAUAUGAUUGCAUAAUCAAAGAACAUCUAAGGGACUGAGUUGUCAACCUCACAGGCUGUUUUAAGAUGCAGGAGGCUUUUAUAUCUAAUCUAGGAUUUUUUUUCUUGAAAUGUUUGCAUAAUACAAUGAUGUCAGCUUCCAAAAUACUGACAUAUGUAUUUGAAAAUAAUGGACAAUGAUGUAAUGAUUAUUAC
rnacentral:lncRNA from 1 species